CUCAAAUUAUAAUGAGAACAGGGUAUCCAAAUUUCUCACUCAAAUAUUUCUUCCCGCACUUGAAAAAUUAUAAAUAUUAUAAUGAUAAAUACGUUAGCAAGACACUAGCAUUUCGCCAACGAGAAUUGACCCAAAAAGAAGAAGAAGAAGAAGAGCAUCAAAUGAAAAUGAAAAUGGCCUAAAAGGAAUAGCUAUUAAUAAAUUCUUUGGUUUGUGAAUUCUGCGAUUCAUGUCAAUUUCGGUCUUCAUUGUGCACGGUGAUAAGAACACGAUCAUAAUUCUCAAUAUCAUCAUCAUCAUCGUUUGAGCUUAUAAUGUUUUUGCCAAUUGAGUCCAAAUCACAAGAUAAGCUCAUCCAGCCCUGUCGGUGAUGAGUU
rnacentral:lncRNA from 1 species